rnacentral:rRNA from 1 species
GGGCGCUGACCGGCAGCUAUAAUGCAGUCGACGAGAUCUUCGGAUCUAGUGGCGCACGGGUGCGUAACGCGUGGGAAUCUGCCCUUGGGUUCGGAAUAACUUCUGGAAACGGAAGCUAAUACCGGAUGAUGACGUAAGUCCAAAGAUUUAUCGCCCAAGGAUGAGCCCGCGUAGGAUUAGCUAGUUGGUGGGGUAAAGGCCCACCAAGGCGACGAUCCUUAGCUGGUCUGAGAGGAUGAUCAGCCACACUGGGACUGAGACACGGCCCAGACUCCUACGGGAGGCAGCAGUAGGGAAUAUUGGACAAUGGGGGAAAGCCCUGAUUCCAGCCAAUGCCGGCGUGAGUGAUGAAGGCCCUUAGGGGUUGUAAAGCUCUUUUUACCCCGGGAUGAUAAUGACAGUACCCGGGAGAAUAAGCUCCGGCUAACUCCGUGCCAGCAGCCGCGGUAAUACGGAGGGAGCUAGCGUUGUUCGGAAUUACUGGGCGUAAAGCGCACGUAGGCGGCUAUUCAAGUCAGAGGUGAAAGCCCGGGGCUCAACCCCGGAACUGCCUUUGAAACUAGAUAGCUUGAAUCCAGGAGAGGUGAGUGGAAUUCCGAGUGUAGAGGUGAAAUUCGUAGAUAUUCGGAAGAACACCAGUGGCGAAGGCGGCUCACUGGACUGGUAUUGACGCUGAGGUGCGAAAGCGUGGGGAGCAAACAGGAUUAGAUACCCUGGUAGUCCACGCCGUAAACGAUGAUAACUAGCUGUCAGGGCACAUGGUGUUUUGGUGGCGCAGCUAACGCAUUAAGUUAUCCGCCUGGGGAGUACGGUCGCAAGAUUAAAACUCAAAGGAAUUGACGGGGGCCUGCACAAGCGGUGGGAGCAUGUGGUUUUAAUUCGAAGCAACGCGCAGAACCUUACCAACGUUUUGACAUCCCUAUCGCGGGAUCGUGGAGACACUUUUCCUUCAGUUCGGCUGGAUAGUGGACAGGUGCUGCAUGGGCUGUCGUCCGCUUCGUGUCCUGGAGAUGUUGGGGUUAAGUUCCCGCAACGAAGCGCAACCCUUCGCCUUUUAGUUGGCAGGCAUUUUAGUUGGGGUACUCCUAAAAGAAACCCGCCGGGUGAAUAAGCCCGGAAGGAAAGGUGGGGGGAUGAACGUCCAAGUCCCUCCUUGGCCCCUUUACCCCGUUUGGGGCUAAACCCCCGUGGCUAACAAUGGGGCGAACUACAAUGGGGGGCAACCCCCCCUUCCCCCAAAAGGGGAAGCUUAUUCUCCCCAAAAAUCCUUUUCCCAAUUUCGGAAAACGUUUUUUUUUGCAAACUCCCAAAAGAGCGGGAAAGGGGGGGGAAAUCCCCUUUUUAAAAUUCCGGAUCAGCAUGCCGCGGUGAAUACGUUCCCAGGCCUUGUACACACCGCCCGUCACACCAUGGGAGUUGGAUUCACUCGAAGGCGUUGAGCUAACCGUAAGGAGGCAGGCGACACACAGUUGGCUACGCAAUCUUCU